rnacentral:sRNA from 1 species
CGGAACACCACGCACGACCGGAAAACGA